rnacentral:piRNA from 1 species
UGGAGUGUUCCUUUCUUGAAGGACUGCCAGU